UACGUAGGGUCCGAGCGUUGUCCGGAAUUAUUGGGCGUAAAGGGCUCGUAGGCGGUCUGUUGCGUCGGGAGUGAAAACCCAGGGCUUAACCCUGGGCCUGCUUUCGAUACGGGCAGACUUAGAGGCAUUUUAGGGGAGAACGGAAUUCCUGGUGUAGCGGUGAAAUGCGCAGAUAUCAGGAGGAACACCGGUGGCGAAGGCGGUUCUCUGGGAAUGUCCUGACGCUGAGGAGCGAAAGUGUGGGGAGCGAACAGG
rnacentral:rRNA from 1 species